rnacentral:lncRNA from 1 species
AGGCUAGUUGGAUCUAGUUGCAAUGAUCUCAAAAAUAUAAAAAUUAUUAAAAAUAGGACGAAAAUCACUUACCGAUUGAAUUUUAAAGCUUGGCCAAACCCUAGCUCUAUUUUCAUGGAAGCUUUCAGUUGUAAUUGGGAAAGAAGAUGAUAACCGCACCUUUUUUUUCUUAUGUUUUUAAUUUAAUUUAAUUUAAUUUAAUCCAUCAAAUUACCAUAUUACCC